AUCAAAUCAAACAGUAAAGAGAAGAGUUCGGUACUUAGUUUGCGUUGUAUCUUGUGAUGGCGAUUAGUCAGAAAAAUGUAAGCUUUGUAUGCUUAGCAGCCCUCAUGUUGGUGAUGGCGACCAUUAUGUUGUCAUGUGAUGCUGAUCCAAAAGAAUCAUGCUACGGGCUUGAAGAUGGAUGCGCCGAAUUGAAAUGCAAGGAAUAUUGUGUGGACUAUGGUUACACCAAGGGAUCUUAUUGCCAGAAUGACGCUUUAUGUUGUUGUUUGACUGCUGCCAAGCCCAAGGUGGAAUUCACCCGUCGUCGUGAUUGAGUGCCUACAAACGUUGUUCAUAUCUAUCAGAUAUCAAAAGUGACCAUGUGUUGCAAUGGGUAUAAAAUAAAUAUAUUUUAAAAAAGAAACAUUUAGCCCC